rnacentral:lncRNA from 1 species
ACAUCUAUCAGACGCUUAAAUUUACCUACAGAGCCACUUAAUCCCCCUGUAAAUUUAACUGUUAGUCUAAAGAGGGACAGCUCUUUAGACAUUAGGAAACAACCUUCAUGUAGAGAGUAAAAAACGUUAUCCCCAUAGUCGGCCCAAAAGCAGCCAUCAAUUAACAAAGCGUUCAAGAUCAACAUCCAACCACUCUAAAUUCUAAUCACACCACUGAACUCCUAACACCACAUUGGACUAAUCUAUUAC